AAUUUUUAACCUGUUUUUCUGUAGCAAACAUCAUGACAUAUUGGAAAAUAUUUUAUAUUGUCUUUCCACUGUACUUAAUCCUCUUCUGUAAAUUGUUCCUUUUUGUCUGUGAGGAAGUAGCAGCUAUGGCUUUUGAAAUACUGCACUCAAAAAGUAAUUGCAAUUAAAAUUUCAAGCUGCUUCCAUUCUGUGUGGGAUAUCAUUGGCUGAGUAAGUUUUAUAAACAGCUGUUUAUAUAGGAAGAAAAAGCCCAACUCACCAUUAUUUUAGUCAUGUCCUUUAGCUGAUUUGUAAAGAAGUUCAUCUGCACUGCUGGUCUCUCUGAGAGUCACUCAGAAUCAGGACCUUUACAGCAUAUUUAAAACACUGUUGUUUCUUAGAGAAAGAUAUCCAGUAUUGGUAAGUGAUAAAAAUUUGGAAACUGAAAUAUUUUGAGUAAACUUAGUGUUUUAGUAGUUUUUAGAAUGCAUCUUAAUACUGUAAUUUUUUUUCUUUUAAGGUGGGAAGAUGAUUAUAAGCCAGAGAAUGAUCCUGUUCGGAAACAGAAAGCUCUGGAGUUCUUGGAGACUUUUCACAUCACCUCAGACUCAGAAGCAACACUUAUUGUUCGCAUUACACAGGAACUCAUGGAGGCUUUGAAGGCCUUUUGUGAAAAGAAAGCAGCAGAUAACUACACCAACAGUUUAGGCCCACUGGUGCCAGUACCACAAGAUGAAUUUCCAGAAAGGCAAAGCAUCCCAGAACACUAUGGGCCAGAUGUAGAAUACAAAGGAAGUUCUGACUGGAAUCAAGGGUUUUUGUCUCAGUAUGAAGAGUAUUCUGAAGAUGCUUCUUUUGCUCCUGCUCACCCCAACAGUUACCAAGCAGAUGAUGGAUCAUCCUCCUGUCAUCUGACACCUGACAACUUUGCAAGUGUGUCUCUGCUCGGGGACUCUCCUGCUGUUGAGCCUGACAUUCCUGCCAGUGGUGUCAGCCAGUGGCUGAGACAGCUCAGGAACUCGGCGCCCUCCAUGAAUUUGGCUCCUGGGGCCUCUUCAUACCAGAGCAGCCCAGUGAAGGAGUACUCAGCAGAAUACAUACCCAGUGAUGUGCGAGGAAACGAGCUCUGUGAUAACAGACUCUCAUUUGGCAGAGAAAAUACGAAAUGGAGCAAUCAACAAGUGUGUACCAAAGCAGGGCAUAUAAGUGACCAAGAAUUAUCCUAUCUCAAUUAUUCUGCCUCAUAUCCUUCAUCUGGAAGAUACUUUACAAAUUAUACUUCACAAAACUAUUCCUCUUACAAGAACUAUGAGUCUGUUAAUACUUGUACGUCUUCUGCAAUUUCUACUGUUUCAGGAAGAGGUGGAGCCAGGUGGCACCAGGACACUAGGUGGAAUGAGUGGAAUGAGGACUAUAGGUGUUACGAGGAUUCUAGCUGGAAGCAGGAAUCUAGGUGUCAAGAAUUCAGGUAUCAGAAAUCAGGCUACCAGAGAGACUGGAGUUCACAUCAGGACUCAUUUUCUGCCAGUGGUUCGUACCAAGAUCACCAUCAGUUCAGAAGCUCAGAAGAGAUGUUUGAUGGAGCUGAUGUUGGUCUUGCUCCCAACACUGUGAACAAACUCCUAGGGAAGGAUGUGCCUACAAUGACCAGGAUGCUCAAGCAGUUGGCUCCGUAUCACCCAGCGCUUCAAAAAGUAAAUAUUCAGACAUUCGUCAACGUGCUAAUAGAAGCCAGAGAGAAAGAUUAA
ensembl:lncRNA